GAUAAAAUGCCUGAUUAAAGGGUCAUCUUGAUAGGAUGAAUUAUGUGUAUUAACAUUUUUAUUU
rnacentral:tRNA from 2 species